GGUACCAGUUACUGAAAGUUGUUGGGCGGCGAAUUUUCGAGGGGUUCGUCUGCCAUGCGUGUCGUAUUUUGCGUGUUUUACUGCGCAAUUAAUACAGUCUUCUCGCUAAUGAGAUGAAGAACUGGUACAUGGCCGACUGUAGAUCAAAGAGAUUUCAGGAUUUUAGCUGCGCUGCACAGCUGCAGUCAACUUGGUACCACUUCAGAGAGGAGAGAGUUCCUAAUUGUGGCGAGAUCGCUAAACAAGGACCAUGCAUCUUCCACAUGUACAGCCGCAGUAACAUCGUUUGACAUCUGUUGGAGGGUACAUGUACUUUCACUACUUGUUGGUCAACCCUCAACGUCAACUACUGUACAUGUACAUCACAGUCCACAUGACAUGCAUUGCACCAACACGGGCUUGCCAAGACUUCCUAUAAAGGACUCUUUACAUAUUUCAGGAUUUUAGCUGCGCUGCACAGCUGCAGUCAACUUGGUACCACUUCAGAGAGGAGAGAGUUCCUAAUUGUGGCGAGAUCGCUAAACAAGGACCAUGCGUCUUCCACAUGUACAGCCGCAGUAAUAUCGUUUCACAUCUGUUGGAGGGUACUUUCACUGCUUGUUGGUCAACACUCAACGUCAACUACUGUACAUGUACAUCACAGUCCACAUGACAUGCAUUGCACAAACAGGGGCUUGCCAAGACUUCAGCUACAAAGGACCCUGAGGUGGAACACAAUUUCCGGCUUGCAUGAACUGAGCUUGUGUGUUGUCACACAGUGUUACAGGAUAAAAGCUGUCACAUGUGUGCAUGAGAUGUGCGAUUUCUGUCGUGGUGGAUGGGAUGACUUUUAUGCAUACGUGUACAUGUGUCUCUUUGUAGGACAUCACAAAACUCCACUGUGCAUCAAGCAUUUGCCCCCUCAAGCCAUCCAUCCUGCACAACACCAGUCUCUUUAGUUAGCAAAAGUUACUGGAUGCAACUGCAGUCCGCAUCAGUUAUGCAUCAUCUGAUUAACUCCUUGAUUGAGGUUUGACCUGAGCAACAUCUGCUUAUCUCUGAGAAGUAACGACAAACAGAUGUGUGCAUGUACCUCCUUGACAUCAGUGGAAUCCACACCAGCUGUCUUAUCAACCUGAGCAAAACCCCAAUUGCAGGAAGACCAUUUUGAAAGUCAUGAGUCAAAGAACAUUGCUGCAAGAUUGCCCUGUCAGUUGUGCCUAUCAACUGAUCAUCUUGCCAUUAUAAAAUCGAAAUUGUUGCUAUCCAAAAAUCCACCACAACUACUGAGUAUCAACAGAUUGACCCUUAGAGACUCUUUUGAUAUUUUGUACUCAUUGUGCAUCAGUUGAUUAAGUCAUUGAAAGUUUUAGGCAAUCCACUAUUCAGACUUCCUGUGUCACAUGUGACUUGAACAGUUGCUGAAACUUGCAGGUACAUACAUGUGUAUGCUGAACAUGUGAAAUACGGGUGCAGCAUCUGACCUGAUCAAUUCCUUUGAAAGCCAUUAGUCAUUCACCAAGCAUGACGUGAGACUUCCGCGUGCAUGUGCUGUCAGCCCAUCCACACCUGACUUGGUGGUGUCCAUCCGUCCACCCUCCAUCACUGAUUAUAUUGAGCCUCGUGGGAGAUGCUGUUUGCCUUGCAAAGCCAUGCAUACGCUACACCUGCAACUAUUGAGGGAUGCAGUGUCACUCCCGUGUGGAUCCACCAUGAAGUCAUGUGUCAGCCUAUCCACACCUGACUCAUUGGUAUCCAUCCAUCCACCUUCCUUCACUGAUUUUUGGGCCUCAUUGAAGUUGCCGCUUGCCCUGUAAAGUCAUGAAUGAACUACGUGUACACUUGCAACUGUACAUGUACUGUGCCCUCCCCCCACUUGUGGAUCCACCAUGAACUCCUGUAACACUAUUCAUUGGACAUCCUGUGGCUUUCCUUGAGAUGAGACAUCCUAGUGGUCUUGGGCUACAAGAGGUUGCUCAGAGUCAUGUUGAUGACAGCCCCGAAACAACGAACAAUACAGUGUGAUGGACCUUCAAAUGAACUCGGAACUGUUUGAUAAAACGUUUGGAAUAAUGGCAAGACAGAACCAGGCCUCACAACACACUGUCACUCAAACUUACAAGCUUGUUAAUUUUCUUGGUGUCUGGCAUUGAUGAAAAUUUCAACACUUUUUCUAAGGACACAAAAAAAUUAUCAAAGACUUAUCUUCUUUGAUAUGCAACAACUAAGCCCAUGAAGUGGUAUUUGAAGACAUUCUUCAGUUCUGCAUGCUGUUCUGAAACACGGUUGUGUGAUGAGUGAAACAGAUACAUAUAAAUGCCCAUGCAACGGCAAAGUGAAAAUCCAAGAGUAUUUCUGUGAGGACUGGUGAUGUUAAUGCCAGCAUGCUAAAGAUGGUUGAGCAAUGCCUGUUGGGUGCUGGGUACUGGAAUGGAUAUGUACAUGUAUGUAUGUAGUUCAUGAGCAAAAAGUGCUUUCAGUAUACUUACAGACGAGAAAAAUCAGUUAAAUUUGGUCAUACCUGUAUCCAAAUCACAGUCAAAUUUAAUGGUUUAAUUUGCAUAGUCUGCAUCCAGUAUGCACAAUCAGAUUAUGUUCAGUGUUUUAAACAGUGCGAUAUUUCUGGUCUCAACACUGGACUCGGUGAAAGGCACAGUUUUUCCAAAAUUUCCUCUGGACACAAAUCCAUGAACAGUUGAAGUACGUAUAAUUUCAAAACACAAUUUUAUACCAGUCUGGUACCCAGCAUUCUAAGUGUAAUCAGUACUGGCACAUUAUUUAAAAGUAAUUCAAGAUGCAAGGAUGCUAGAUCUUAUGUAAAGUUGAACUGUUCCCUCAAAAUACAUUUAGGAAAAUCUGAUCAUCACUUUGUGGCCGACUGCCAUUGUUCCUGCAAAAACUGAUCAUGUUCUGGUGAAGUGUCAACUUGUUAAUUGCUCUCAAUGAACUCAAAAUAUAUAGGGCAAAUACAUGUACAUUGCAAACAUUCAAUAUAAGAUUUGGCUAAAAAGAUAUGCUAUGUAAGUUAGAAUGAGGCAAAAUGUUCUUUGAUAAUUGCAGAAUUGAAGAGUUUAUCACACUGAUAUCAAAUCCACAUUACCCCUUUUAAAGCCACAGUUUGAAUCUGAAGCUAAAUGUAAUGUUUUUAAUCGAUCAGUUAAGCAAAGUUCAAAAGCAAGUCCACAUUACCACUUUCAAAACUUCUUUUGGAAUCUGAAUUAAGCUCUUUAAAUCGGACCAAGUCUUUUUAUAAGUUUACGCCAGUACUGAUUAUA